GUACCCGUAGCUCAAUCGGAUAGAGUAAUGGCCUCCGACGCCAUCGGUUGCAGGUUCGACUCCUGUCGGGUACA
rnacentral:tRNA from 1 species